rnacentral:rRNA from 1 species
GUGGGGAAUAUUGGACAAUGGGCGAAAGCCUGAUCCAGCCAUGCCGCGUGUGUGAAGAAGGUCUUCGGAUUGUAAAGCACUUUAAGUUGGGAGGAAGGGCAGUAAGUUAAUACCUUGCUGUUUUGACGUUACCGACAGAAUAAGCACCGGCUAACUUCGUGCCAGCAGCCGCGGUAAUACGAAGGGUGCAAGCGUUAAUCGGAAUUACAGGGCGUAAAGCGCGCGUAGGUGGUUUUGUAAGUUGGAGGUGAAAUCCCCGGGCUCAACCUGGGAACUGCCUCAAAAACUGCAUGACUAGAGUACGGUAGAGGGUAGUGGAAUUUCCUGUGUAGCGGUGAAAUGCGUAGAUAUAGGAAGGAACACCAGUGGCGAAGGCGACUACCUGGACUGAUACUGACACUGAGGUGCGAAAGCGUGGGGAGCAAACAGGAUUAGAUACCCGUGUAGUCC